UAGGGAAUCUUCGGCAAUGGGGGCAACCCUGACCGAGCAACGCCGCGUGAGUGAAGAAGGUUUUCGGAUCGUAAAGCUCUGUUGUAAGUCAAGAACGAGUGUGAGAGUGGAAAGUUCACACUGUGACGGUAGCUUACCAGAAAGGGACGGCUAACUACGUGCCAGCAGCCGCGGUAAUACGUAGGUCCCGAGCGUUGUCCGGAUUUAUUGGGCGUAAAGCGAGCGCAGGCGGUUUGAUAAGUCUGAAGUUAAAGGCUGUGGCUCAACCAUAGUUCGCUUUGGAAACUGUCAAACUUGAGUGCAGAAGGGGAGAGUGGAAUUCCAUGUGUAGCGAUGAAAUGCGUAGAUAUAUGGAGGAACACCGGUGGCGAAAGCGGCUCUCUGGUCUGUAACUGACGCUGAGGCUCGAAAGCGUGGGGAGCGAACAGGAUUAGAUACCCUGGUAGUCCACGCCGUAAACGAUGAGUGCUAGGUGUUGGAUCCUUUCCGGGAUUCAGUGCCGCAGCUAACGCAUUAAGCACUCCGCCUGGGGAGUACGACCGCAAGGUU
rnacentral:rRNA from 1 species